CCUACGGGAGGCAGCAGUGGGGAAUAUUGGGCAAUGGGCGCAAGCCUGACCCAGCAACGCCGCGUGAAGGAAGAAGGCUUUCGGGUUGUAAACUUCUUUUCUCAGGGACGAAGCAAGUGACGGUACCGGAGGAAUAAGCCACGGCUAACUACGUGACAGCAGCCGCGGUAAUACGUAGGGGGCAAGCGUUAGCCGGAUUUACUGGGUGUAAAGGGCGUGUAGGCGGGACUGCAAGUCAGAUGUGAAAACCACGGGCUCAACCUGUGGCCUGCAUUUGAAACUGUCGUUCUUGAGUACUGGAGAGGCAGUCGGAAUUCCUAGUGUAGCGGUGAACUGCGUAGAUAUUAGGAGGAACACCAGUGGCGAAGGCGGUCUGCUGGACAGCAACUGACGCUGAGGCGCGACAGCGUGGGGAGCAAACAGGAUUAGAUACCCUGGUAGUC
rnacentral:rRNA from 1 species